GUGGCAGUCUUUAUGGUUCCAACACUGAGCAGUGUGCUGCGACCGCUGCGACUCCACACAGAGUGAAGUGGUGCUUUACGACAGGGCCCGUAAAGGAGCUGGUUUCCCUGAGCGAUGGUUCCAUACAUC